GAUGAAGAACGUAGCGAAAUGCGAUACGUAAUGUGAAUUGCAGAAUUCAGUGAAUCAUCGAGUCUUUGAACGCACAUUGCGCCCCCUGGUAUUCCGGGGGGCAUGCCUGUCCGAGCGUCAUUGCUGCCCUCAAGCACGGCUUGUGUGUUGGGCCUCCGUCCUCCUCCCGGGGGACGGGCCCGAAAGGCAGCGGCGGCACCGCGUCCGGUCCUCGAGCGUAUGGGGCUUCGUCACCCGCUCUUGUAGGCCCGGCCGGCGCUUGCCGACACAUCAAUCUUUUUUCCAGGUUGACCUCGGAUCAGGUAGGGAUACCCGCUGAACUUAAGCAUAUCAAUAAGCAGGA
rnacentral:misc_RNA from 1 species